GAUGAACGCUGGCGGCGUGCCUAAUACAUGCAAGUCGAGCGAACGGACGAGAAGCUUGCUUCUCUGAUGUUAGCGGCGGACGGGUGAGUAACACGUGGAUAACCUACCUAUAAGACUGGGAUAACUUCGGGAAACCGGAGCUAAUACCGGAUAAUUUUUUGAACCGCAUGGUUCAAAAGUGAAAGACGGUCUUGCUGUCACUUAUAGAUGGAUCCGCGCUGCAUUAGCUAGUUGGUAAGGUAACGGCUUACCAAGGCAACGAUGCAUAGCCGACCUGAGAGGGUGAUCGGCCACACUGGAACUGAGACACGGUCCAGACUCCUACGGGAGGCAGCAGUAGGGAAUCUUCCGCAAUGGGCGAAAGCCUGACGGGGCAACGCCGCGUGAGUGAUGAAGGUCUUCGGAUCGUAAAACUCUGUUAUUAGGGAAGAACAUAUGUGUAAGUAACUGUGCACAUCUUGACGGUACCUAAUCAGAAAGCCACGGCUAACUACGUG
rnacentral:rRNA from 1 species